AAAUUGAAGAGUUUGAUCAUGGCUCAGAUUGAACGCUGGCGGCAGGCCUAACACAUGCAAGUCGAACGGUAGCACAGAGAGCUUGCUCUCGGGUGACGAGUGGCGGACGGGUGAGUAAUGUCUGGGAAACUGCCUGAUGGAGGGGGAUAACUACUGGAAACGGUGGCUAAUACCGCAUAACGUCGCAAGACCAAAGAGGGGGACCUUCGGGCCUCUUGCCAUUAGAUGUGCCCAGAUGGGAUUAGCU
rnacentral:rRNA from 1 species